AUGAAUGUGAAGUUUGAUAUUGCAAUACUUAAUACCAUGAUUAAUGCAAUGUACAAGGUUGGGAGAAGAGAAGAAGCUAAGGAUUUGCUUGCUGCAAUAUCACCCAGUGGCUUGAUACCCAAUGCUUCUACUUACAGCAUAAUGAUAAUAAAUCUUCUAAAAGAUGGAGCAGUGGAAGAUGCUGACAAUAUGUUUUCAUCAAUGGACAACAGUGGUAUCAUUCCCAGUUCCCGUCUUAUAAAUGAUAUCAUCAGAAUGUUGUUGGAAAAAGGUGAGAUAGCCAAGGCUGGAAAUUAUUUGUCUAAAGUUAAUGGGAAGAGUAUCUCACUUGAAGCUUCAACUACCUCAUUGAUGUUGUCCCUCUUUUCAAGGAAAGGGAAACAUCAGGAGGAUAUUAAGUUGCUCCCAGCAAAGUAUCAAUUUUUUUCGAUGGAUUUGGUUGACUAG
rnacentral:rRNA from 1 species